UACGUAGGGGGCAAGCGUUGUCCGGAAUCAUUGGGCGUAAAGCGCGUGUAGGCGGCCAGAAAAGUCCGCUGUGAAAACUCGAGGCUCAACCUCGAGACGCCGAUGGAAACCGUAUGGCUAGAGUCCGGAAGAGGAGAGCGGAAUUCCUGGUGUAGCGGUGAAAUGCGUAGAUAUCAGGAGGAACACCUGCGGUGUAGACGGCUUACUGGACCAUAACUGACGCUGAGGCACGAAAGCGUGGGUAGCAAACAGG
rnacentral:rRNA from 1 species